rfam:Asian citrus Psyllid, Diaphorina citri - Florida Strain, whole genome shotgun sequence.
GCCUCGUUAGCUUGGAAGGUAGAGCGUCUGCCUUGUAAGUGCUAGGUCGCGGGUUCGAUUCCCGCUGGAGCG